rnacentral:rRNA from 1 species
GGGCCCGCACAAGCGGUGGAGCAUGUGGUUUAAUUCGAUGCAACGCGAAGAACCUUACCUACUCUUGACAUCCAGAGAACCUUUUAGAGAUAGAAGGGUGCCUUCGGGAACUCUGAGACAGGUGCUGCAUGGCUGUCGUCAGCUCGUGUUGUGAAAUGUUGGGUUAAGUCCCGCAACGAGCGCAACCCUUAUCCUUGUUUGCCAGCACUUCGGGUGGGAACUCCAGGGAGACUGCCGGUGAUAAACCGGAGGAAGGUGGGGACGACGUCAAGUCAUCAUGGCCCUUACGAGUAGGGCUACACACGUGCUACAAUGGCAUAUACAGAGGGCUGCCAACUCGCGAGAGUGAGCGAAUCCCAUAAAGUAUGUCGUAGUCCGGAUUGGAGUCUGCAACUCGACUCCAUGAAGUCGGAAUCGCUAGUAAUCG